CACCCCUCUUCCUCCCCGGGGCCUUCCACCUCCGCGAGUUUUAUGACUUAAAAAAGCCCACAGGCUGGUCUGAAGAGGAAGACAAACAUAAAGAUGAAGUGCUUAAUUCAAGGUCACACAAUGUCGGGGAUGGACCUCCAGAUUUCCUUACUGGAAAACAAGCUCAGGGCUCCCACUGAUUGUACAUUAUGACCAAGUGUGUUGGGGACUUGAGAUGCGUACAUGAGUGUGAUGUUUCCUGCUGAAAGCACAGGUGAGACGUGGUCUUGUAACACAGUGGUUAAGAAUGUGACUUUGGAGCCAGCCUGCUAGGGGCUGAAUUCUGACUCAGCCAUUUACUAACUGUGUGACCUUAGGUCACAGAAUUUUCCACACUCCUUGACAGAGGUGCUUAACCCUUAUCCAUCAGCAUUCUCAGACAGCACCUCCGGUUAGGGACAGUAUCUGACCGUCCGACAUCCCUGCAGCCCCCAUGUGUCACACAGACUCAGCCUCAGGUAGAUGGUUUCCGUAGAUGGUGGCUUUCUUUGGACCCUUGACAUCAACCAGUUACUAUUUGGGGACCAGAUGUGCAGAGGUAAUGAAUACCAGGGAAUCAGGAAACCACUGGAUCAGUUCUUUGAGCCACAGAACAACACUCAUCCCAGCAGCUGGGAAGCUAUCUGC
rnacentral:lncRNA from 1 species